AAACAGCUGUCUCAGGUUACAUACACAACAUCUCAAAACCAUGGUGUCUUCAUCUCUCUGGUUGUUGCUGCUGUUAGCAGUUAUUUCUUGUAUUUCUUCAUUAGACCUCACUCAGCCUCAGUUUCUGACUGUUCGACCUGGAGAAACUCUGACUAUCAACUGUAAAGUCUCAUAUUCGGUUUCUAGUUAUACUACAGCCUGGAUUCGUCAGCCUGCAGGAAAAGCUCUGGAGUGGAUUGGGCUGAUAUCCAGCAGUGGAAGCUUAUACUAUAAGGAUUCCCUGAAAAAUAAGUUCAGCAUCACCAGAGAGACCUCCAGUAACACAAUCACACUGAAUUGGAAUAAUAUCCAAGCUCAAGACACAGCUGUAUAUUACUGUGCCAGAUACAGCACAGUGACAAACACAUUCAGCCUCCCUGUACAAAAACAUCAUGUUACAAACAGACUUCCAGAUGUUUUUCCUCAAAAUUCAGAUUUUUACAGAAAUAUAUAAGGUUUUCACAACUCUUGUACCUUCAUGUCAUUAUUGAUAUUAAUUCAGUUG